UACGAAGGGGGCUAGCGUUGCUCGGAAUCACUGGGCGUAAAGCGCACGUAGGCGGCUUUCUAAGUCGGGGGUGAAAUCCUGGAGCUCAACUCCAGAACUGCCUUCGAUACUGGAAAGCUCGAGUCCGGGAGAGGUGAGUGGAAUUCCGAGUGUAGAGGUGAAAUUCGUAGAUAUUCGGAGGAACACCAGUGGCGAAGGCGGCUCACUGGUCCGGUACUGACGCUGAGGUGCGAAAGCGUGGGGAGCAAACAGGG
rnacentral:rRNA from 1 species